GGUCAAUAUUCUGGACCAUAAUUCACUAUUAACUGUGCUUACUUAACAAAGGUAUCUGUGCUAAGUUUACAGAGGUCAAUAUUCUGGACCAUACUUCACUAUUAACUGUGCUUACUUAACAAAGGUAUCUGUGCUAAGUUUACAGAGGUCAAUAUUCUGGACCAUAAUUCACUAUUAACUGUGCUUACUUAACAAAGGUAUCUGUGCUAAGUUUACAGAGGUCAACAUUCAGGACCAUAAUUCACUAUUAACUGUGCUUACUUAACAAAGGUAUCUGUGCUAAGUUUACAGUGGUCAACAUUCAGGACCAUAAUUCACUAUUAACUGUGCUUACUUAACAAAGGUAUCUGUGCUAAGUUUACAGAGGUCAACAGUCUGGACCAUACUUCACUAUUAACUGUGCUUACUUAACAAAGGUAUCUGUGCUAAGUUUACAGAGGUCAACAUUCAGGACCAUAAUUCACUAUUAACUGUGCUUACUUAACAAAGGUAUCUGUGCUAAGUUUA